UAGAAAUGCCAAAUGGCUGCCUGUAACUGAUUUUGGGCCUAAUGUCUUUGCCAAGUUUGGUCCAUGAAAUUGGCGGUGUGCCGGGGUCCUAUGAUACCACGAAAUCAGAGAUUCUCAAAGAUGGAAACAAGAAAACGGAAAACGAUGAAAGACACACCCACAUUGGGUGUUCAUGAUGUUGUGCUUUGUCCGAUUAUAAUG